rnacentral:rRNA from 1 species
CCUACGGGAGGCUGCAGUGGGGAAUAUUGGACAAUGGGGGCAACCCUGAUCCAGCCAUGCCGCGUGUGUGAAGAAGGCCCUCGGGUUGUAAAGCACUUUCAGUGAGGAAGAACGCCUGGUGGUUAAUACCCAUCAGGAAAGACAUCACUCACAGAAGAAGCACCGGCUAACUCCGUGCCAGCAGCCGCGGUAAUACGGAGGGUGCGAGCGUUAAUCGGAAUUACUGGGCGUAAAGCGCGCGUAGGUGGCUUGAUAAGCCGGUUGUGAAAGCCCCGGGCUCAACCUGGGAACGGCAUCCGGAACUGUCAAGCUAGAGUGCAGGAGAGGAAGGUAGAAUUCCCGGUGGAGCGGUGAAAUGCGUAGAGAUCGGGAGGAAUACCAGUGGCGAAGGCGGCCUUCUGGACUGACACUGACACUGAGGUGCGAAAGCGUGGGUAGCAAACAGGAUUAGAUACCCGAGUAGUC